UUGAUCCUGGAAACUGGACUGAGAAGACUGGGCAUGAUGUUGCUGUGACUAAACAAAUGGCUAUUUCAAACAAAUAUAACUACAAGAGAUAGACAGUGGCUUUCAUCUGUAUCUUUUUUUGUUACUUUUAGGGCUUGCCACGCCAGAGCUGUGGUAAUGAAUGUGGGGUUUUUAUGCUUAUGUAUACCCUUUGCUCUGUGACCGGUGUGGCAAUUGAAUUCCAGGAGAAAAUGGACACAUCAUGAAUUAUAAGACUUCAAAAUAGAAGGGUAUGGCAC